UACGGAGGAUGCGAGCGUUAUCCGGAUUUAUUGGGUUUAAAGGGUGCGUAGGUGGCUUUUUAAGUCAGCGGUGAAAACUGGCGGCUCAACCGCAAGAGUGCCGUUGAAACUGGGGAGCUAGAGUAUGAACGAGGUAGGCGGAAUGUGUGGUGUAGCGGUGAAAUGCAUAGAUAUCACGCAGAACUCCGAUAGCGAAGGCAGCUUACCAGGCCAUAACAGACACUGAAGCACGAAAGCGUGGGGAUCGAACAGGAUUAGAUACCCUGGUAGUCCACGCAGUAAACGAUGAUUACUAGGAGUUUGCGAUAAACAGUAAGCUCUCGAGCGAAAGCGUUAAGUAAUCCACCUGGGGAGUACGCCGGCAACGGUGAAACUCAAAGGAAUUGACGGGGGCCCGCACAAGCGGAGGAACAUGUGGUUUAAUUCGAUGAUACGCGAGGAACCUUACCCGGGUUUGAACGCAGUGGGAAUGGUCCUGAAAGGGGUCAGCUAGCAAUAGUCCGCU
rnacentral:rRNA from 1 species